UUCCCCUCUUCUCUUGAAAAGACAUAUCAACCACAGGAUGUUGGAUGAUAAAUCGUACAGUAUUUUAAUUUCUAUGUGCCAAUCGUAGGGGUGAAAAUGGAUGGAUAUGGAAAGAAAUUUCAUAUGGGCCGUUGAUAAGAAGAAAUCUAAGAUCUAAGAUAUUCAAAUAUGAUAGGCUUAUCCAUCAAGGCCUUCACUGAUCCCUAAUCGGC
rnacentral:lncRNA from 1 species